GAUGAACGCUGGCGGCGUGCCUAAUACAUGCAAGUCGAGCGAACAGACGAGGAGCUUGCUCCUCUGAAGUUAGCGGCGGACGGGUGAGUAACACGUGGAUAACCUACCUAUAAGACUGGGAUAACUUCGGGAAACCGGAGCUAAGACCGGAUAAUAUAUUGAACCGCAUGGUUCAAUAGUGAAAGCCGGUUUUGCUGUCACUUAUAGAUGGAUCCGCGCCGCAUUAGCUAGUUGGUAAGGUAACGGCUUACCAUGGCAACGAUGCGUAGCCGACCUGGGAGGUUGAACGGCCACACGGGAACUGAGACACGGUCCAGACUCCUACGGGAGGCAGCAGUGGGGAAUCUGCCGCAAUGGGCGAAAGCCUGACGGAGCAACGCCGCGGGAGUGAUGAAGGUCUUCGGAUCGUAAAACUCUGUUAUUAGGGAAGAACAAAUGUGUAAGUAACGAUGCACGUCUGGACGGUACCUAAUCAGAAAGCCACGGCGAACUACGU
rnacentral:rRNA from 1 species